rnacentral:rRNA from 1 species
UACGGAGGAUGCAAGCGUUAUCCGGAAUUACUGGGCGUAAAGCGUGCGUAGGUGGUUCGUUAAGUCUGUCGUGAAAGCCCCGGGCUCAACCUGGGAAUGGCGAUGGAUACUGGCGGGCUAGAGUGCGGUAGAGGGUGGUGGAAUUCCCGGUGUAGCAGUGAAAUGCGCAGAUAUCAGGAGGAACACCGGUGGCGAAGGCGGGUCUCUGGGCAGUAACUGACGCUGAGGAGCGAAAGCGUGGGGAGCGAACAGG